rnacentral:rRNA from 1 species
UACAGAGGUCUCAAGCGUUGUUCGGAUUCAUUGGGCGUAAAGGGUGCGUAGGCGGCGAGGCAAGUCAGGUGUGAAAUCUCGGGGCUCAACUCCGAAACUGCACUUGAUACUGCCUUGCUAGAGUACUGGAGAGGAGAUUGGAAUUUACGGUGUAGCAGUGAAAUGCGUAGAUAUCGUAAGGAAGACCAGUGGCGAAGGCGAAUCUCUGGACAGUUACUGACGCUGAGGCGCGACAGCGUGGGGAGCAAACAGG